rnacentral:rRNA from 1 species
UACGAAGGGGGCUAGCGUUGCUCGGAAUCACUGGGCGUAAAGGGUAUGUAGGCGGCCCUUCAAGUCGGGUGUGAAAGCCCUCGGCUCAACCGAGGAACUGCGCCCGAUACUGUGGGGCUUGAGGGAGACAGAGGUAAGCGGAACUGAUGGUGGAGCGGUGAAAUGCGUUGAUAUCAUCAGGAACACCAGUGGCGAAAGCGGCUUACUGGGUCUCUUCUGACGCUGAGAUACGAAAGCUAGGGGAGCGAACGGG